rnacentral:lncRNA from 1 species
ACUAAUUGUUCUUCUUCUGAGGUGACCUCCCAUUCCGCUCCAAAGCACGAAGGCGCGAGGCCUCUGCCGCCGCCAGGAUGACGGGCCGAGGAAGUAGACGGACCCUAUCGGUGGGAAACCGCUGGCCGCCGUUCCUCUCCAUGUAGUCCAGGAUCGUGCGGGCUGUCAAAGUGACGUCAUCUCCAGGAACGUCACGACGACGACCCCUCAUGACUGGAGAUCGGCGACGGCUUUCAUUCACCACGGCAUCCAAGACUGCACGAG